rnacentral:rRNA from 1 species
CCUACGGGCGGCAGCAGUGGGGGAUAUUGGACAAUGGGGGGAACCCUGAUCCAGCGACGCCGCGUGAGUGAAGAAGUAUUUCGGUAUGUAAAGCUCUGUCAGCAGGGAAGAAAGCAAUGACGGUACCUGACCAAGAAGCCCCGGCUAACUACGUGCCAGCAGCCGCGGUAAUACGUAGGGGGCAAGCGUUAUCCGGAAUUACUGGGUGUAAAGGGAGCGUAGACGGCUGUGCAAGUCUGGAGUGAAAGGCGGGGGGCCAACCCCCGGACUGCUCUGGAAACUGUAUGGCUGGAGUGCAGGAGAGGUAAGCGGAAUUCCUAGUGUAGCGGUGAAAUGCGUAGAUAUUAGGAGGAACACCAGUGGCGAAGGCGGCUUACUGGACUGUAACUGACGUUGAGGCUCGAAAGCGUGGGGAGCAAACAGGAUUAGAUACCCGAGUAGUC